rnacentral:miRNA from 2 species
CGGUCUUGAGGCAGGAACUGAG